CCUACGGGAGGCAGCAGUAGGGAAUCUUCCGCAAUGGACGAAAGUCUGACGGAGCGACGCCGCGUGAGCGAAGAAGGUCUUCGGAUCGUAAAGCUCUGUUGUUAGGGAAGAAGAAGUACCGUUCGAAUAGGGCGGUACGGUGACGGUACCUAACGAGAAAGCCCCGGCUAACUACGUGCCAGCAGCCGCGGUAAUACGUAGGGGGCGAGCGUUGUCCGGAAUUAUUGGGCGUAAAGCGCGCGCAGGCGGUCCCUUAAGUCUGAUGUGAAAGCCCACGGCUCAACCGUGGAGGGUCAUUGGAAACUGGGGGACUUGAGUGCAGAAGAGGAGAGCGGAAUUCCACGUGUAGCGGUGAAAUGCGUAGAGAUGUGGAGGAACACCAGUGGCGAAGGCGGCUCUCUGGUCUGUAACUGACGCUGAGGCGCGAAAGCGUGGGGAGCAAACAGGAUUAGAUACCCGGGUAGUC
rnacentral:rRNA from 1 species